rnacentral:tRNA from 1 species
GCGCGCUUAGCUCAGCUGGUUAGAGCGUCUCGUUGACGUCGAGAAGGUCGGGGAUUCGAAUUCCUCAGCGCGCACCA